CAAAGUGUAGCUUAACUCAAAGCAUCUGGCCUACACCCAGAAGAAUUCAUACUAUGAACUCUUUGA
rnacentral:tRNA from 1 species